GUGGGGAAUAUUGGACAAUGGGCGCAAGCCUGAUCCAGCCAUGCCGCGUGAGUGAUGAAGGCCUUAGGGUUGUAAAGCUCUUUCAGUAGGGAAGAUAAUGACGGUACCUACAGAAGAAGCCCCGGCUAACUUCGUGCCAGCAGCCGCGGUAAUACGAAGGGGGCUAGCGUUGUUCGGAUUUACUGGGCGUAAAGCGCACGUAGGCGGAUUGGUCAGUUAGAGGUGAAAUCCCGAAGCUCAACUUCGGAACUGCCUUUAAUACUGCCAGUCUCGAGUCCGGAAGAGGUGAGUGGAACUCCUAGUGUAGAGGUGGAAUUCGUAGAUAUUAGGAAGAACACCAGUGGCGAAGGCGGCUCACUGGUCCGGUACUGACGCUGAGGUGCGAAAGCGUGGGGAGCAAACAGGAUUAGAAACCCCAGUAGUCC
rnacentral:rRNA from 1 species